rnacentral:rRNA from 1 species
CAAAACGGAGAGUUUGAUCCUGGCUCAGGAUGAACGCUGGCGGUAUGCUUAACACAUGCAAGUCGAACGGAAUGCUUA